CCGCGACACCCACCACCACCGGCUACCACCACCACCACCGGCGACCAGCCCAUGGGUAUCUCCUCCAAAUCCCCAAACCUCAAUCCAAAAUCUCUAGUCUUCUCACACCCAUCUCUCAUCUUGCCAUUCCCAUCAAAACCUAAUCACCGAUUCAGAGCCAAAAUCCAUAUUCAAUGACCUUGAUGAGGCCCCGUCAACGAAACCCUUCGGAAACAGAGACCCAUUUGCUAUAGAGAAUGUUGAGCAGUUUGAUCAAAGCAGGUCAUCACGGAGAAUCGGAGAACCAUUAGAAUGGUCUGCACGCCAAAAAAUAGCUGUGGGAGCUGCUCGAGGGCAUGGAAUGCUAUAAGAUGGAAAGAGAAGAAGGUUUCCGCGACUCAAACAAAGCAGUAAAGAUGCUGAAUGAUUUGGCAGCGAAGAAGAGCAGAAUGCUUUGAUAGGAAACAAAAAAUGGAGGUGUAAUUCCUAGGCCUAUUUGUUCUACAAUUGAAAUACUGGAAUGUAGCCUAUUUUCGUUUUGCAAAUGAGUUUGUAACCAUUAGAGAGGAAAAUGUACUUUUAUUUAUUGGGAUGUGAAUGAUAAUUAGCAUGAGUAGACUUAUUGUAUAGUCUCCCUGCUUUAAGCCAUGGGUACGUCAGGAUCGGGAAACAAAUCGGGGAAAAGAGUCGGGAUGUGUAGACUUAUUGAUUAAAAUAUGUUACUAUUAUUACUUGGGCAUUAA